UACAGAGGGGGCAAGCGUUGUUCGGAAUUACUGGGCGUAAAGGGCGCGUAGGCGGCCUUCUAAGUCAGACGUGAAAUCCCCGGGCUCAACCCGGGAACUGCGUCUGAGACUGGAAGGCUUGAAUCCGGGAGAGGGAUGCGGAAUUCCAGGUGUAGCGGUGAAAUGCGUAGAUAUCUGGAGGAACACCGGUGGCGAAGGCGGCGUCCUGGACCAACACUGACACUGAGGAGCGAAAGCCAGGGGAGCAAACGGG
rnacentral:rRNA from 1 species